rnacentral:rRNA from 1 species
GGAUCCGAAGCGAAAGCGAGUCUGAACAGGGCGGAUAGUCGGAAGGAGUAGACGCGAAACCAAGUGAUCUACCCUUGGGCAGGUUGAAGGUUAGGUAACACUAACUGGAGGACCGAACCGAUAAGCGUUGAAAAGCUUCCGGAUGACCUGAGGGUGGGGGUGAAAGGCUAAUCAAACUUGGAGAUAGCUCGUACUCCCCGAAAUGCAUUUAGGUGCAGCCUUGAGAGUUACUAAUGUGAGGUAGAGCGACUGAUAAGAUGCGAGGGCUUCACCGCCUAUCAAGUCUUGAUAAACUCCGAAUGCGCAUUAGUUCUAUCUCAGGAGUGAGGGCAUGGGUGCUAAGGUCCAUGUCCUAAAGGAGAAGAAUCCAGACCAUCAGCUAAGGUCCCCAAAUAAACACUAAGUUGAACUAACGAAGUCAGAUUGCUAAGACAGCUAGGAUGUUGGCUUGGAAGCAGCCAUUCAUUUAAAGAGUGCGUAACAGCUCACUAGUCGAGGAGUUUGGCGUGGAUAAUAAUCGGGCAUUAAGUGUUUUACCGAAGCUAUGGGAUACGUAAGUAUCGGUAGGGGAGCAUUCCACUCUGCGUUGAAGGCGAAGCGUGAGCUUUACUGGAGCGUGUGGAAAAGCAAAUGUAGGUAUAAGUAACGAUAAAGGGGGUGAGAAACCCCCUCGCCGCAAGACUAAGGUUUCCUGAUCAACGCUAAUCGGAUCAGGGUUAGUCGGGUCCUAAGGCUCAGCCGAACGGUGAUGCCGAUGGCAGAACAGGUUAAUAUUCCUGUACUAGCAUUAAGAGUGACGUGGAGACGGAGGAGUGACAACGCCGCGGACUGACGGAAUAGUCCGUUAAAGGGUGUAGAUGUUGAUUGUCCCAGGCAAAUCCGGGAUAAGAGUCGAACCUGACAGUAUACCAAUUUCCUCGGAAAACGGUAAUAGUGCGUGUAAACAUACUCCCAAGAAAAUCCGCUAAACUUAAUCUUAAUGGUACCCGUACCGCAAACGGACACACGUAGUCGGGUUGAAUAUACUCAGGCGCUUGAGUGAAUCACGGUUAAGGAACUAGGCAAAUUGACCCUGUAACUUCGGGAUAAAGGGUCCCUACCCGGUGACGGGAGGGCGCAGAGAAUAGGUCCAGGCAACUGUUUAACAAAAACACAGGGCUGUGCAAAAUUGAAAGAUCACGUAUACAGCCUGACACCUGCCCGGUGCUGGAAGGUUAAGAGGAGAUGUCAUCGCAAGAGAAGCAUUGAAUUGAAGCCCCAGUAAACGGCGGCCGUAACUAUAACGGUCCUAAGGUAGCGAAAUUCCUUGUCGGGUAAGUUCCGACCUGCACGAAUGGUGUAAUGAUCUGGACACUGUCUCAACCGUGAGCUCAGUGAAAUUGUAGUAUCGGUGAAGAUGCCGAUUACCCGCGAUGGGACGAAAAGACCCCGUGAACCUUUACUAUAGCUUAACAUUGAAUUUGGGUAAUUGAUGUGUAGGAUAGGCCGGAGACUUUGAAGCAGGUACGCCAGUAUUUGUGGAGUCGCUGUUGAAAUACGGCCCUUUGAUUAUUUGAGUUCUAACUCGCAGUCGCGAGGACACUGUUUGGUGGGUAGUUUGACUGGGGUGGUCGCCUCCAAAAGUGUAACGGAGGCUUCUAAAGGUGCCCUCACGCCGAUUGGUAACCGGCGGCAGAGUGUAAUGGCAUAAGGGCGCUUGACUGGGAGACUUACAAGUCGAUCAGGUAGGAAACUAGAGCAUAGUGAUCCGGUGUUUCCGUAUGGAAGGGACAUCGCUCAAAGGAUAAAAGGUACUCCGGGGAUAACAGGCUGAUCCCUCCCAAGAGCUCAUAUCGACGGAGGGGUUUGGCACCUCGAUGUCGGCUCGUCACAUCCUGGGGCUGGAGAAGGUCCCAAGGGUUGGGCUGUUCGCCCAUUAAAGUGGCACGCGAGCUGGGUUCAGAACGUCGUGAGACAGUUCGGUCUCUAUCUAUCGUGGGCGUAUGAAAUUUGCGUGGCUCUGACACUAGUACGAGAGGACCGUGUUGGACUGACCUCUGGUUUACCGGUUGUGCCGCCAGGUGCAUUGCCGGGUAUCUAAGUCGGGAUUGGAUAAGUGCUGAAAGCAUCUAAGUACGAAGCCAGCCACAAGAUUAGAUUUCUUUUUAGGGUCGUUGUAGACUACAACGUUGAUAGGACGCAGGUGUACAGGUGGUAACAUCACAGCCGAGCGUUACUAAUUGCCCGAUGACUUUCUUUU